ACCUCCUCGCCGGGAAAGCAGUGAUCUGUGAGGCUGAGUCUGGGAAUCCCCCUCUCCAGAAGAAAUGAGAUGCAGCCGCUCUCCAGGUGCUUAGGAGGAGCUGUGGGGUCUCAGCGGAGGAACUUCACCAAAGACAGUCAAUGCAGAGCCGAUACGUCCUGGCUAAACUGGAUCUCCGUGGCAGGCGGCCCCGCCUGGCCUGGCUUUCGGGGAGACAUUUCCUGCUGCAUCCUGCAGAGAACACCCUGCGGUCCUCAGGUUCCUGACUUCCUUAGUCUUCUCGGGGCCUAAGGUUUCCUGAGUUCAAGUUCAAGUUCAUAUCUGAAGGGGUCUGACAGGCGCCAGGCCAGAAUCCUGGAUAACUGGCACCCCAAUGACCACUCGGCUGUCUCUGGAAACUUCUCCAUGGGUCUGGACCCCCUGCUCACCUCCGGGAAAGACAGACUACACCUGCCCUGGCCCGCGGGAGCACAUAGGGCUCUUCCAGACCCUUCCGGACCCUUCCAGACCCUUCUGGAGGUCCUGCUCCCACGUUCGCUCACCUCCUACGCCAGCCUUACUUUCAAAGACGGGAGAAAGGGGGAGCUUUGGACGACCUCAUGGAACAAAGGUGAGGAUGUCUUCACUUUGGUAAUUAAAUGCUUAGAUGUCAUUUUGUGACCUGAUGUCUGUUCCUGCCCCUGCAGCACACAAAUCACUCAAACCUGCACCCUGGCCAGGGUCUGCACCUCCUGCUCCGAGCACUGGCGGUACCUCAUCUCGGGUGCCAGCCUUUUGGCUCUGGAAGCAGCCACAGCUAGGACUGCCGCUGGGAGAGGAGAAAACUUGGUUUGUAGAAGGCAGGAGCAGAGCCUGACUCCAGGAUCCUCCAGGCCUGUGUGGGCACCUUUUAGGGUCCAAAGCCCUCUAGAAACACGCUCCAAAAACCAAAUUCCAGCCCACACCAGGGUGAGGGUGGGGUGGGGAAGGGCGUAAAGGCAGGCAGAGCUUCCG
rnacentral:lncRNA from 1 species